AUUGAACGCUGGCGGCAGGCCUAACACAUGCAAGUCGAACGGUAACACGAAGAAGCUUGCUUCUUUGCUGACGAGUGGCGGACGGGUGUGAAAUGUAUGUGAAACUCCCUGAUGGAGUGGGAGAACUACUAGAAACGGUUACUAAUACCGCAUAACGUCCCAAGACCAAAGAGGGGGACCUUCUGGCCUCUUGCCAGUCGAAGUGCCCAGAUUGGAUUUUAUAGUAGGUGGGGUAACGGCUCACCUAGGCGCCGAUACCCAGCUGGUCUGAGAUGGUGACCAGCCACAAUGGAACUGAGACACGGUCCAGACUCCUACGGGAGGCAGCAGUGGGGAAUAUUUGACAAGGGGCGCAAGCCUGAUGCAGCCAUGCCGCGGUGAUUAAGAAGGCCUUCGGGUUUUAAAGUACUUUUAGCUGGGAGGAAGGGAGAAAAGUUAAUACCUUCGCUCAUUGACGUUACCCGAAGAAGUAGCACCGGCUAACUCCGUG
rnacentral:rRNA from 1 species